rnacentral:lncRNA from 1 species
UCCAUGCAAGCUCCCGCGCCUUCUCCACACCAUCACAUGGGCUGCGCUCCACACGUCCACUUCGCCGUGGCCCGCACCGCCAAAGGGCCUCACGUCACUCCACCAGCAUGGGCCCGCGCAUCCCUUCACGCAACCUUCGCACACCUGGCAGCCCAGUCCCAUGCACACAGACAGCCCGUGGACGUCGCCACUCCUUCACAUGGACGAGGAUCCGCCCAUGCGCAAGACCCGCGCCUUCAACCCGCGCUCCACACCCCAGCUUCACGUGGACAUUCGCGCACCCGAUUCACUCCCAGGCAAGCAAUUUUCCUAAAUAGCACACCUCCUCUGCACUUAUAAAUAGAGCCUUCAGUGGCCGAAUUGAGGAGGAGGGAGAAUUCCUUUCCUUUGGCAAGUUCCGCAGCUGGGCAGAAGAAUUCCAGAUUUUCGAUUUUUAUUUCUUUUCCCCUUUAUUUAUUUUCUGUUUUUAAUUUAGCCAAUGAGUGGCUAAUUUCUUCAUCUAGUUGAAUAUUGAUUGAAACUUUAGUUGGUUAAUGGGUUGUGAGACUUGAUCAAAUAUUAUUUAAUUUUUGGGAAUUCAAUAUUUAUGUAAUUUUAUAUUUAAUCUUCAUAUUAUUUUGUAAUUGAAAUCUACGUUGAUUUUUUUAUUGCAAAAUAAUUAUUUGUUAGUUUGAAUAAUUUAAGUCCGUAAUUGCUUGGGUUAUUCUUACAUGAGGACACUUGAGAUAGAACCCAAGGAAAUUGCAUGAUCUAGCGUUAUCUCCAUACGUUUGGGUAGCUAGGAUUGAGUCUCUCUUUUUCUUAAUGCAAUUGACAAUUGUUUUGAUGGCUAAGACCCAAGGACGUUCCUUGGCAAUUUGUUAAUUAGUAAUUAAUUAGAGGACGUUCCCUAAUUAAUUUAUUCCUAAGGAGAGAUAAUGGUGGUGAGAAGCGUCUUCCAUCUUCAUAACUAAUCUAUUGGGUCAACCCAAAAGAGCAAAGUGUCUGUGAUCAACCCCAACAACUAAAGUGGAUCCAAUAUUUCAACUAGAGCUUUCUCAUUAUUAAUUACUUUUUACUUAAUUAUUUGCUUUCUAUUAUUAUUCUCAUUAUUAGUUACUACAAUCAUUCUCAAACCCCUCAUUUUACUUUUAUUGCAAUUUAUUUUUGUUCUGCUUUCAGUUUAUCUCAUUUGAUCCCACUUUCAGUUUUUAUCUCAUUUUUUGUUUAUCUCAUUGUUUCAGUUAAUUUUAUUGGUCUUGUUGAGAAAAAUAAAUAGGUAAUCAAUUCUCUGUGGAUUCGAUCCUUUCACCACUAUCUGCAGUUGUAAAUUGUUGAUAACCAGAAAGGUUAUUUUUGGCCGGCUUCGACAACCGCGUGCCAAAAAUUGAUCAAAUUAGUAAAAUUAUUUUUAUAUAGUAGAACCGCCGUGUGCGUAGCAUCUUAAAUAUCGUU